rnacentral:rRNA from 1 species
GACAGAGGUGCCGAGCGUUAGGCGGAAUCACUGGGCUUAAAGCGUGUGUAGGCGGAGUUCUAAGUACCUUGUGAAAUCCCACGGCUUGACCGUGGAACUGCUUGGUAUACUGGUUCUCUUGGGCCAUCUAGGGGCUAGCGGAACAAACGGUGGAGCGGUGAAAUGCGUAGAUAUCGUUUGGAACGCCAAUGGUGAAAACAGCUAGCUGGGGAUGUGCCGACGCUGAGACACGAAAGCCAGGGGAGCGAACGGG